UACGUAGGCAGCAAGCGUUGUUCGGAGUUACUGGGCGUAAAGGGUGUGUAGGCGGUUGUUUAAGUUUGGUGUGAAAUCUCCCGGCUCAACCGGGAGGGUGCGCCGAAUACUGAAUGACUAGAGUGCGGGAGAGGAAAGUGGAAUUCCUGGUGUAGCGGUGAAAUGCGUAGAUAUCUGGAGGAACACCGGUGGCGAAGGCGGCAUCCUGGACCGGCAUUGACGCUGAGGCGCGAAAGCCAGGGGAGCAAACGGG
rnacentral:rRNA from 1 species